UACGUAGGGGGCUAGCGUUGUCCGGAAUCAUUGGGCGUAAAGAGCGUGUAGGCGGCCCGGUAAGUCCGCUGUGAAAGUCAAAGGCUCAACCUUUGAAUGUCAGCGGAUACUGCCGGGCUAGAGUCCGGAAGAGGCGAGUGGAACUCCUGGUGUAGCGGUGGAAUGCGCAGAUAUCAGGAAGAACACCGACGGCGAAGGCAGCUCGCUGGGACGGUACUGACGCUGAGACGCGAAAGCGUGGGGAGCGAACAGG
rnacentral:rRNA from 1 species